CCUAGGGAGGCUGCAGUGAGGAAUACUGGUCAAUGGACGCAAGUCUGAACCAGCCAAGUAGCGUGCAGGAUGACGGCCCUCCGGGUUGUAAACUGCUUUUAGUUGGGAAUAAAAGGGGGCUCGUGAGCCUCGUAUUGUAUGUACCAUCAGAAUAAGGACCGGCUAAUUCCGUGCCAGCAGCCGCGGUAAUACGGAAGGUCCGGGCGUUAUCCGGAUGUAUUGGGUUUAAGGGGAGCGUAGGCCGGCUUUUAAGUCAGCUGUGAAAGUCCGCGGCUCAACCGUGGAAUUGCAGUUGAAACUGGAGGGCUUGAGUGCACACAGGGAUGCCGGAAUUCAUGGUGUAGCGGUGAAAUGCGUAGAUAUCAUGAGGAACUCCGAUCGCGAAGGCAAGUGUCCGGGGUGCAACUGACGCUGAGGCUCGAAAGUGCGGGUAUCAAACAGGAUUAGAUACCCCAGUAGUC
rnacentral:rRNA from 1 species